GGACGUCAGCUGGGAUUGGCAAGUUUCACCUCAUUCUGGAGCUGUACUGAGUCAUGUAUAGAUAUGUAUGAUUACGGGUAUGUCCGGGCCCUGUCCUGACUCAUAAUGUUCAGUUCACUUCUUAGAGACUUCUGCAGACAGUGUCCUGUGGUAUAUUUGUCGAGAUGUCGAUAAAGUGAUAUCAGUUGAGUCAUUUGUGGAUUUUAAAAGAGUUUUGAUAGAGCGAAUGUCUAAGGGUUCGCUCGACUCUGAUGAGAGUCGGGUGCCCGUCAUGCCCUACCAUUGUUAGGGUGUGACAAAAUGGUAUCAGAGCAGUUCGUUCUCGGGGUUGUCUGCAAAGUCGUGUCAGGUAGAGUCUUGUUGAUGGGUGUGUUGUCGACCACACUUAUGAACAGGAGGCUACAGGGCAUCUAGGAUGGUUUACCUUCAUUCAGAUCAUAGAUUGUGCUAUAGAGCUGUGUUAUAGGCCUUGAAUCCUUGCUGCUAACUUUAAGAUUUGAAUUUUGAUUAAGUGAUUGUAAAGUGCAGCCAUGAUUGCGAAAUUGGAAUUGUUAGUAAGAAAGGUAAGUUCUCUGAUGAUUAAUGAUUGCUAUGUGAGGUAAGUGCUGCGGGUUAAGGAUUGCAGUAAGAAAGGUAUGCUUCUUAUCGAAUUGAGAAUGCCAUUUGUGAAGAGCAUUUGUACAGGUAUGUAUAGGGUGUUGUAAUAUGAUUGUGGCCCUGUGAGGCAUGUUGAUAUAUUUUGAUUGUUGCCCUGUGAGGCUUGUUGGUUAGCUGUGUACAGGUGGGUAGUACAAAUUACAGAGGAGGUUCUGCCGAAAUUUUAUUAAAAUUGAUUGUGAUCAGUAGAUAUAUGUGUGCUAUGAUCAGUACGAUACACAAGUGUAAACUGAAGAAUGAAAGGUUAAUAAUAGUUGUAAAUCGGCUAAAAGAAGGGUUAUGAGAUAGGUUCAGAAUGAGUUUGAGAGUUAGGUUGAAAUUACUCGAGGAUAUAGAAGUGAGUCGAGGGUUAAGUUAAGUUCUCUUGGGGAUUAGAAGUAAGGUUGAUGAACUAAGAUUAAUGUGAUUCAAAUAAUGUGAUAAGAUUACGAGAAGACACAUAAGAGGGGAAGCAAUGAUAAGCAAGGAGUCAUUCGAGAGUAAGCUUUAACGAGUAAAGAAUGAAACAAGGAAGAGAAAGAAACAUGAUUAUAUGUGUUUGAGGAAAGGGAGUAAUGUGAUAUUAGUAAGUGUUGGAAUUGGAUACGAGUAUUAGUCUUCAUUUAACAUUCGAGGACGAAUGUUUCUAAGAGGGGAAGGAUGUUACACUCCAGAAAAUUUCGCGUUACUAAGGCUGCAGACGGCUUAAUAUGAGCUCAAGGAGGAGCAAAUAUUACAAGUAUAAAGGAUGAAAUUCUACUGUAUUAGCAUGAGGACAGCAUGGGUAUGAUAUUAAGAAUGAUACGUUAAAAGAUAUAUAGCCCUCGUAAUCGUAAGCUAAG